rnacentral:lncRNA from 1 species
UGCAGACCAAUAUCAGACAGAGAAAAAGAAUCAGGAUUCAUAUAUUCAUAGAGGACUGUGAAAGCAAUGAAACCAUUCGGAGAUAUUCAUGUAGGAUGAAAAUCUUACUAUCAAUUAUAGGAACCCCACAAUAACUGGAUAUAUAGCAGUGUAUAUAGGACUAUAAUUCUAUAAAGUCAAGGGAUCCUUUUGUAAACCAAGGUGAACAAAAAGAACCUUUAAUUUAAUGAUCUUCUAAAUGACUACGGAAGUGGAUGUUGAUAUGUUAUAUGUAGCAUUUGUGAAGGCAGUAAGGAAUUCAUUUAGCUAUUUCUAACUUGGGCCAGCGCCUUAAUAAAUUACAAGAGGAAAAGAAAUGCAGAUUUCAAUCAAGAAAGCAGGACAUAAGAUUUUAUAGGAUCAAAGAUAUGAUCUUGACAAUCCUGUCGAAAAGUCGAAUUAAAUUGACAAAAUUCUUCACGUACAUUAGUCACGAGCUCUAGUACCAGCCAUUAAGCAACUGGCGUGUUGUGGCGAAUAAACUGACUUAAAUAUCUGUUUUGCUAGCCGUACUGGUGAGUCCCGAUAUUUUGUGCAAGACAAUUGAAUAGCUGAAUCCCACUUCAAUACUGCAGUUUGCAGAAUAAUCCACGGCAAGAAACUUCAUAUUUAAUCAUUUACCUACCACCCCACUUAAGGAAUAAUGACACCAAGAUAAGGUUUUCUACUCCUGUCCCUGUUUUCCCAUAUCCUGUAAUUUUUUGCAACGAGCCUACUAAGAGCCCGUUUGAACAUAAGAUUUUUUUUUUUAGUUUUUUUCGAAAUAUUUGUUUAUAAAAUUUUCAAUCCACUUGAAGAUACAUUUCCAAAAGGCUAUUUUUUAAAUUUUUUUAUUAUCUCUAAAAAGUAUUCAAAAUUUUGUUCACGUUCAAACAUAACUCUAAUUUUCAAAUACCAUUUUUAUUUGAAUUAUCUUUUUCACUUUUUUUUAUUUAGAAUUUUACAAUUCUUAUGUCCAAACGCCCACUAAACGCCCACUAAAUAUGUACGAAUAUUCGCGUUAAUGCUAUGGGAAUAAGAUGUCUCCAUUGUAUGAGUAAUAGCUUUAACUUCUAAAAUAUUUUCUAAUAACGUAUUAUUUGGGAUUGAAGCAUAAGUGUUCUCAUACGUAAAUUGUUUAACUUGAACAAACAUAGUAGGUACAAAUAAACAAAGAAAGGAGAAAUGAUUCAGCAUAAAUUUUUACAAUUGAAUAAAGAAACAUAAUAACAAAAGGUUCACUACUACUAUAGAGUAACUAAGAGGUAGUACUCACCUUUCCACAUUGUAUGAAGCCGAUCUCUUUAUAGCUGGCAUUUUCUCCUUCUUUAUCUCUAUUAAACUCCCACUAAAGUACUCUUUAUCCUCCAGCUUUAUUAUCUCUUCACUUUCAUGAUAUUCCACCAUUGGACCCUCUACAUCCUUCUCCACUUGAUUGGAGCCUCUGACACGUGGCAGCCACGGUUUAUGUUGUGAAAUUAUGGAAAACCGAUUUUCUUUCCCGUAAUCGGGCCCACACUUGAAAGACAUGGAUCCCCAAGAUAGUAAUUGCAUCAGCAUGGAAGAUGCUUUACUACUCUUUCCGCUAGAUUGAAUAUUAGCUCUCUACAUCCUUCUCCACUUGAUCGGAGCCUCUGACAUGUGGCAGCCGCGAUUUAUGUUGUGAAAUUAUGGAAAAUCGAUUUUCUUUCCCGUAACCGGGCCCACACUUGAAAGACAUGGAACCCCAAGAUAGUAAUUGCUUCAGCACGGAAGAUGCUUUACUACUCUUUCCGCUUGAUUGAAUAUUAACCGUUGGAUCUUUGCUGAUUGUAUCUGGCCGUAAGAUCACUCUCCCGUCUGCUUUCAUCAACGUCUCUAGCGUUUCAGAACUUGAAUCCGACUGUGGUGGUGAAAUUUCACCUCUGUUCAUCUCUAUCGACCGUUUUUGAUUCUUUUCAUCCACGUCCGGUUCAAUGGUCCGGUCUUCUCUCGACUCUUCUUCUUCUUCUUCGACAAUUCGCAUUGCUCUUCGCCGGCGGCGACGAUCGUCUGUCUGAGUCGACGCGUCGCUGGCGGCUCUUCCGAUCAAUUCGCCGGUAGAAUCUGCCUUGUACACUCGGUACUCGUGGAAAUCGGAGGAAGUCCAUGACUGGUUCCGACGCCUUGGGAUUACCGGAAACUCACGAUCUUCGCUGAUUUUCCGUACUUCGGGUACCGGAUUUUUCAAACCAGAACAUGAAAUUUCGUCGGGUUGUGAAGGCAAUGUUCUGUCGAGAAGCUGUGAUCCUUUCAGAAUGUACUCUUGACCCCGUGCUGGGUAUAUAAAAUCGUGCUCCGUCAAAUCCUGCCACACGAAUCCGUUUUUGUAGCUUCUGAAUCGCCCAAAAUGCAAGGCAAAAUUAAUUUCAGCUCUAUGAAUGAAAAUGGCGGUAACAGACAUGAAAAAGGUAUAAUGAAAAGUGAUUCACCUUUUAGCAGACCAGGAAUACAUAGAGGCCAUGCCUUUUCCACGAAGACAAUUCAAGCGGUUGAUCACAUC